rnacentral:lncRNA from 1 species
UCCUUUGGAAUAUCGAUCAGAGAGUGUAUGGAAGCAGAGAGCGUAUUCUGGUUAUUUCUACUCUGUAAACUUCUCUCUGGCUUCGCAGGUCUGUGCUGGAGAGUGGGAGAAAGGUCCCUGCUGCUUGCUGUAUCUUCAGCGGGCAGAGAGCUCUGACCUUGGCCGGAUGGGCUGUGUCGUAUUCUGGAGAUACUGCAAAGUGCUGCCUGUGUCACCCGAGCUGCCUAUGAGCUGAUAGAGGAUCACAGCCUACUCACGUGGGUCAUGAACAGCUUAGAGAAAAGGUUUCUGGAGAACAAGGUGAUAAAUAAAAUGAUUUCCUUUCUCCAUACUCUAUGGGUAAUAAAUUUAAGAGACAAGAGAAAACAAGAAUCAAUCCCAGAAGAACAGCAAACUUAUUCUUAAUAAGCUUGUAAAUGAAUUUCUGUGUGUUUUGGUCGCAUUAAUCAAACAUAUUUGGUAAGUCCUUUGUUUUGUUUUUUUUGUUUUAGUCAGUUUGCAUUUCAUCCUCUGCCCAGUUU